AGAGCAAAACCAGAAUGAGAACAAAGUAAAUAAACCUUACACUGAUUCUUCAUGCGGAAAAAUGAAAUUAAUCACCAGACCAAGAAUGGAAACCUCGACGGAACUACGAUCCAAACCUCAACGCUCAUCGGAACCAAUGAUGUUACUACUAUAACGAUGGAGAUGCUAGAACUACGGCCACAUGACACACGCGAAGGGAUGCCGACGAAUAGAUUCUGGCCAAACUCAGCACAAAAAAAUGUUACAAAAUCCAUAACAUGUUAGAUCUACAUCCAUCCGGCAUAGAAGUAGAGCAUGUGGGAACAAUGGUGAUGAGACAGUGGACUGUUUUCUGCUCGUUCAUUGUUGACGAUGCGACUCCGACGAUACAAAAAUAGUAGAGGGUGGAGAAAGGGAAAGAAACAACGGCGAUGAGGGAUAUCAGCAACUGCUCCGGCGAUGAGUGUUGUGUGCGUGUGUGGUAGUCGGAGUUGUGGUGGUGACAAAUGGAGGUGGAGAUAGGAUCGUUUUAUUCAUUGUGGAGAUUGGGGACUGGCUGGCUUUGUGAGGCCGGGGUGGCGGCUGUUGGUUGCGUGGAGUCCUCUAGGGUUCAACUAGGGUGUUGCAUGGUUAAAGAUGAUGUCUGAUGGGUGGGAGAAGAGUUGAAGAAGUUGCACGACUGGUUUCCGGCGAGGGUUGUUUGGGUUGAAGUUGCAGAGAACAUUGGAGAUGGUCGUUUUUGUGUAUUCUGCGCAGCUGCACUAAAUUUUUUUCCAGGCGUCCCCUUGUCCUGUAUAAUGUGUAUUGGCGUCUAUAUCUCUUGUCCCUAUCCGUAUAUGUGUGUUAGGGCUUUUAGAUGGGGAAAUGGGUUUGGGUAUUGGGUUGGAUCGGGUCGACUUGGUUUGGGGUUGGUAGGGAUUAAUUUGGAUUGCAUUGAAAAGAGAAAUUGUAUUGGGCUUGAAUUUUAGUAAGAUUUUGGCCCAAAAAUAUGAUUCACCUCUUUUGUUUUCAUAUUUUCUAAUUUCUUUUAAAUUAAAACUAAAAAUAAC
rnacentral:lncRNA from 1 species